GAUUUUUAGAACUACCUUUUGUGAUUGCCACAACUUUGAGUCUAAACUGGGGAUCAUAAAUUAGUUAAAAUAUUUUCUUAGCUCUCCAUUAAACAUAACUCUAAUUCAGUCCUAUAGUUAAAAUUACAUUUGCAGUGUUUAACUGAAAGUUGAAGCGUAGUUAGUCAUACCAAGAUUGCAUUGAUGACCCGCGGUCCAGGUAGAGUUGAAGAUGAUGUGUCUCUAGAAUACUGGCGUUAGAAACUGGUUGAAAUCGAAGAAAACAAGAUACUGUCAAAUAUUAUGAGCUAGAAUAUAAUGAACACCCAGGGAAGGGCUACUCAGGAACUAAAGAGCAAGUCUAAGGCCCAUUUCCCCUCCUUUCACUGUAUUUCAGGUAUUUUAUUGGAAAAGUUAAGCUAAAGAUCUGAGACAUUUAGCAAGUGCUAUUGACUGUGAAAUUUGCUUUAAAUCUUCUGAUGAGUUUUAGUUUGGUUUUUUGCAAUCAAGUCUACUGCUUGCAAUUAAGAUGUCAAUCUGAAAUGCAUCUAUGGUUCCUAGCCACACAGGUCCUUGUUGCCAUUAUUUUUAAGAAUCUAACUUUAUUGGAAAUUAGCAAACUUUUGCAUAUGAUCUAUUACCUCAGGGAAGAUCACUUGCUAGCAACUCACUACUAAUGACAGGUUUUUGAGAAUUGUACUGACAUCACUUGUUAGCUACUAAAUGCAGAAUUUAUAACAGUAUUAUUUUAUGUAGUUAACUACUAACUGGCUGCUAGUGAACAUUUCUCUAAAAAAUUUAGACCUCACUAAUAACUAACCUUUAGGUAUGAAAUAAACUUGUAAUUUCUGUCUUUAAGCUUUGGUCAAUACAGUGACAAUAUAAAAUGUUUAUUUCAGAAUAUCAGUACCAUUUUAUUUUUCAACAAGAAUUUUAAUUGGGUCCAUACAUAAAAUACCACAGAGCAGACUUUUAAGAUUCAUGGUUCUCAGAACAAAGUUUCCAUAUUAAGAUUUUCAUAAAAGCUUUUGCAGAACUGAAUUAAACUCCAUUCAUCAUUUAAUAUGACUUUAAAAUCACCUUUUAUAAGAGUAACAGAUACAUACUCUAAGCUGGGGUAUAGAUAUAUCCUACAUGUCAAGGUUAUCAUGUAAUUUAACAAAAUUGCACAACCUCAGGCUCUUCACAAUAUAAUUUUUCAAACCAGAAGUAUUCACUUGAAAACACCACAGUAGAAUGUUUACUUAACAAAAGGGGAGCUAUAUUACCAAUGUAAGAUUUAUAGUUAAUUGUAAGUUCUGCCAUUCUUAAUAAUUCUUUGAGAUGCUAAGUGUUUCAAUUCAUAUUUAAUGAUACUUAAAUCGUGGGAAUUUUAACAUUUGUUCCAAAAUAGCAGAAAUUGUAAAAAUUGUGAAUUAUUGGAGAAAAUGCCAUUACUUGUAUAUCUGACAUUUAAUUUUUUUAAAUUAUGGAAUCUACAUGCUUUUGUAGUAUAAUAUUAAUACGAUGAUUAUUCUCUUGUAAAAGAAAAGGAAAACUAGUAAAAAGUUUUAGUUGAUGUUAUGUGCUUGUGAGUAUCAAUUACUUAGUAUUUGAAAUUUUAAGGUCUUGCAUCCUUUUCUUUAGAAUGCACAAGUCCCUUCCUGAGCUUUUAUGCCUGUGGUAGAGCAGUAAAAGCCUGAAAAGGUUGUCAGUAUUUUUAGGUUCAUUUGACUUUGAGAAUUAGUGCCAAGAGCUGGAGGAUCUGCUUUUUGGAGGGAAAUGUUAUUUAGAAUAUGUAAAAAUAAGUGUAAUAGUGUAAAUAUUUAGAAAAAAUUAAGUAGCAAGUGCUUUAACUGCUGAAUAAAAUAGUAUAGAUGUUCUACCAUCCCU
rnacentral:lncRNA from 1 species